rnacentral:rRNA from 1 species
AGAGUUUGAUCCUGGCUCAGGACGAACGCUGGCGGCGUGCCUAACACAUGCAAGUCGAACGAGAAUCUUUGGAAUGAUUCUUUCGGGAUGAAUUCCAAAGAGGAAAGUGGCGGACGGGCGAGUAACGCGUGAGUAACCUGCCCAUAAGAGGGGGAUAAUCCAUGGAAACGUGGACUAAUACCGCAUAUUGUAGUUAAGUUGCAUGACUUGAUUAUGAAAGAUUUAUCGCUUAUGGAUGGACUCGCGUCAGAUUAGAUAGUUGGUGAGGUAACGGCUCACCAAGUCAACGAUCUGUAGCCGAACUGAGAGGUUGAUCGGCCGCAUUGGGACUGAGACACGGCCCAGACUCCUACGGGAGGCAGCAGUGGGGAAUAUUGCGCAAUGGGGGCAACCCUGACGCAGCAACGCCGCGUGCAGGAAGAAGGUCUUCGGAUUGUAAACUGUUGUCGCAAGGGAAGAAGACAGUGACGGUACCUUGUGAGAAAGUCACGGCUAACUACGUGCCAGCAGCCGCGGUAAUACGUAGGUGACAAGCGUUGUCCGGAUUUACUGGGUGUAAAGGGCGCGUAGGCGGACUGUCAAGUCAGUCGUGAAAUACCGGGGCUUAACCCCGGGGCUGCGAUUGAAACUGACAGCCUUGAGUAUCGGAGAGGAAAGCGGAAUUCCUAGUGUAGCGGUGAAAUGCGUAGAUAUUAGGAGGAACACCAGUGGCGAAGGCGGCUUUCUGGACGACAACUGACGCUGAGGCGCGAAAGUGUGGGGAGCAAACAGGAUUAGAUACCCUGGUAGUCCACACCGUAAACGAUGGAUACUAGGUGUAGGAGGUAUCGACCCCUUCUGUGCCGCAGUUAACACAAUAAGUAUCCCACCUGGGGAGUACGACCGCAAGGUUGAAACUCAAAGGAAUUGACGGGGGCCCGCACAAGCAGUGGAGUAUGUGGUUUAAUUCGAAGCAACGCGAAGA